rnacentral:lncRNA from 1 species
GCCCAGGCGCCCUGCCUGGGCCUGUUCUCCGAUCCAUCGUGGACCGGACGGUCCACGAGUGGGCCUGUGGACCGCGUGAGCAUUUUCCACGCAUUUCUCGCGGUCCACGGCACUAUUCCAUGGACCGGAGCACGAUCGGAGGGCCCAGGUGACUCCCGAUCUUGAUCCGACGGUCUGAGACGUGAUUUGGGUUGAUUAAGGAGUACUAAUCAUGAUCUAAGUCGUGAUUAAGGCCUAUAAAAGUCCUGUACAUUGAACAGAGGCAGUGUGGUUCGAUUUUUUGCCUGAGACCGCACGGAACCCAAGAAGAGGAAGAAGAGAG